CGAGCGCUAACGAGGCAUGCAGAAGUUUGGUCCGAGUGGAUUUUCAGCAGUUUUGCAGAGUUUUGUGUUUAAACUUUGUCUCUGGAUUAUAAGCAAGGUAAUCUGUAAGAAGACAUGUUUGUAAAUGACAGAACUUUGACUAGAAGUUUUGAUGACUGCUUCAUUGCUGCUCGUUAAACCAGCGAGAGUGAUUUAAAACGUGGCCAGCUCGACCCAGUAGCUGUGUUUGGACUGUUUCCGACCUGGAAACGGGACACGACAACCAGAUAGUGCUCUGAGCUGCCUAGGAAGGCUUCCUCUGGCAACGUUGGAUUGCCACCGGACCAGAUGAUGCUGUAACCUCGUUUUCAUCUUCCUCGUUAAGGAGACCUAUGGACGAGUAAACUACUCUGUGGACCUCACAUCUCAAAAAAAGCCUCCUCACAAACAUCAAGCAACCAGAUAGAAGGGUCCAGUUGUCCAUUUUCUUUUUGAUACCCUCUGCCGCCAGACAGAUCCACUGAUGUCUGCUUUUAUCCUCAGUGUCUUGGGGAUAAAAUGUGACAUAUCUCCCCUCAGACACUCCAUCUCUAACCCUUUUUGUAACUCCUUGUAUAUUUCUGUAUGAAAUUACUGUAUUGAUCGGUGAAAUUGUAUUUUAUGGCCAAGCUCUUGAGUUUCAGGAGAUAAUGGAGGGUGCGUUAUGCACCAACCUGGACAGGAAAUCAUUGCAAGUGGAAGGCAGUCAUACCAGCAUGGUGAUAAAAUCCAUGUAUGAACAACACAGGGAGGAGUCAUGUGAUACAUGGCACUUGAGCCUCCAAAAUGUCCCUUAUUGAUGUUGCUUUUGUGCAGUUUUGACCUCACUUUGCUUUACUGCGGCCUAUAUGUGUUUCUUUUCAUGCUUGGCUUGAUGUAAACAAGCCAUUUGGCAUUUUCAUCUAAAGCUGGUGCAUGACCGUCCACCUCUCCAAGCUCACACAGACAUCUAUAUAUAGCAAACUGUAAUGUAAAUGCUUCUGUGCUUCUAUUGAUGCGGAAAUGCUGCAGGAUAGAUUAUAACACUGUUAAAAAAAUGGGUAUUUCUCUUUUAUAAACACUUACUUGAAAUAAAUGGUCAAAACAGA